CCUACGGGAGGCAGCAGUGAGGAAUAUUGGUCAAUGGGCGCGAGCCUGAACCAGCCAAGUAGCGUGAAGGAUGACUGCCCUAUGGGUUGUAAACUUCUGUUAUAGGGGAAUAAAGUGCAGUAUGUAUACUGCUUUGCAUGUACCUUAUGAAUAAGGAUCGGCUAACUCCGUGCCAGCAGCCGCGGUAAUACGGAGGAUCCGAGCGUUAUCCGGAUUUAUUGGGUUUAAAGGGAGCGUAGGCGGGUUGUUACGUCAGUUGUGAAAGUUUGCGGCUCAACCCUAAAAUUGCAGUUGAUACUGGCAUCCUUGAGUACAGUAGAGGUAGGCGGACUUCGUGGUGUAGCGGUGCAAUGCUUAGAUAUCACGCAGAACUCCGAUUGCG
rnacentral:rRNA from 1 species